UACGUAGGGUGCAGGCGUUAAUCGGAAUUACUGGGCGUAAAGCGUGCGCAGGCGGUUUGCUAAGACAGGUGUGAAAUCCCCGGGCUUAACCUGGGAACUGCGCUUGUUACUGGCAGGCUUGGAGUGUGGCAGAGGGGGGUGGAAUUCCGACGUGUAGCAGUGAAAUGCGUAGAGAUGUGGAGGAACACCGGAUGGCGAAGGCAGCCCCCUGGGCUAACACUGACGCUCGAUGCACGAAAGCGUGGGGAGCAAACAGG
rnacentral:rRNA from 1 species